rnacentral:tRNA from 1 species
GUCUCCGUAGCUCAAUAGAAGAGCGUUUCUUUGUGGAAGAAAUGGUUGAGGGUGCAAGUCCCUUCGGAGACCCA